AACAACCUACGGGAGGCAGCAGUGAGGAAUAUUGGUCAAUGGGCGAGAGCCUGAACCAGCCAAGUCGCGUGAGGGAGUACUGCCCUAUGGGUUGUAAACCUCUUUUGUCGGGGAGCAAAAGCCGGACGUGUCCGGCUGUGAGAGUACCCGAAGAAGAAGCAUCGGCUAACUCCGUGCCAGCAGCCGCGGUAAUACGGAGGAUGCGAGCGUUCUCCGGAUUUAUUGGGUUUAAAGGGUGCGCAGGCGGAUUUUUAAGUCAGCUGUCAAAUCGUGGGGCUCAACCCC
rnacentral:rRNA from 1 species